AACGGAAGGAAUUUCCUUUCUUCCUAGAAUCUUAUCAACACCAUGCUCAAAGACCUGUAGCCUGAACUUGUCUUGUUGGUUGAUGGGAGUAGAGUGGAUUGCUGUAUGGCGUAUUACUCUGAAAUGCAAAGUUACAACACAAGCAGGAACAAAAAAAUACAGAAAACAAAUAGCUCAAGCCCUGCUCAACAACAUGGCGUCUCCGUUUCUACGUAACUUCUGUAACUUCCAAYACAUACAGCUUUUUAU